rnacentral:rRNA from 1 species
ACGGAAGGCAGCAGUGAGGAAUAUUGGUCAAUGGGCGAGAGCCUGAACCAGCCAAGUAGCGUGCAGGAUGACGGCCCUAUGGGUUGUAAACUGCUUUUAACCGGGAAUAACGUUACCUUCGUGAAGGUAAGUGCAUGUACCGGUUGAAUAAGGAUCGGCUAACUCCGUGCCAGCAGCCGCGGUAAUACGGAGGAUUCGAGCGUUAUCCGGAUUUAUUGGGUUUAAAGGGAGCGUAGGCGGGAAGUCAAGUCAGCUGUGAAAUGUAGACGCUCAACGUCUGCACUGCAGUUGAAACUGGUUUUCUUGAGUGCGUAAGAGGCAGGCGGAAUUCGUCGUGUAGCGGUGAAAUGCUUAGACAUGACGAAGAACUCCUAUUGCGAAGGCAGCUUGCUGGGCCGCAACUGACGCUGAGACACGAAAGCGUGGGGAGCAAACAGGAUUAGAUACCCUGGUA